ensembl:lincRNA 4732419C18Rik RIKEN cDNA 4732419C18 gene
GAGAGGCUGAUUUGCAUAUUAAAAAGAUUGCCCAGCUGCUGGGUGAAGACUGCCUUUUAAAGGCGCAAAAAUAGAAAUAGGAAGACCAGCUAGGGAGGGAGCGGCUCAGCAACGCAGACAGGAAAUAAUCACUGUUAUUAUCUGCAGUCCUCCAGAGGAGCUCACAGCAGAACAUGAGCUGUGGUUAGACCUUCCAAGAAAACAGCAGAAACGAGGAACGGCAGCCAAGUUUCCCGUGCAGGCCAGUUCCAGUUGGCAAGAUGCUGAAGUACCCCCCCCCCCAAUGUAUUGGGGAGAAGGCUCCACGUGGCAGACAGUGAAGCAGAGGUCUCCUCUGCAGCUGCCCUCUCUCAGGCUGCUGCCUGGGCCCCAAACCCCGCAAGCAAAGCUGGCAGAAGAUGGCUGCCAACAAGCUUCACUGCAAAGAGAAUCGCCGUGAAGGCAUGUUUGGAGGCAGAGAAUAUUAUUCAAGGCAGUAAGAAUAUACAGAAGCUGGAGAGAUGGCUCAGCGGUUAAGAGCACUGACUACUCUUCCAGAGAUCCUGAGUUCAAAUUCCAGCAACUACAUGGUGGCUCACAAUCAUCUAUAAUGAGAUCUGAUGCCCUCUUCUGGUGUGUCUGAAGAUAGCUACAGUGUACUUACAUAUAAUAAAUAAAUUAAUUUAAAAAAAAAGAAUAUACAGAAGGACCAGGCAGUGGUGGCACAUGCCUUUAGUCCCAGCACUUGAGAGACAGAGGCAGGCAGAUUUUUGAGUUUGAGGCCAGCCUGGUCUACAAAGUGAGUUCCAGGAUAGCCAGGACUAUACAGAGAAACCCUGUCUCAAAAACAAAAACAAAAACAAAAAACACACCAAAAAACAAAACAAAACAAACUAAAAAAAGAAUAUGCAGAAGGACAAAGAACAUCAGAGGAGUUCCUAUAAUUGUGGGCACACCCCAUAGGCCACACCCUCCAUAGGCCACACCCCCAUAGGCCACACCUCUCAGAGGACAGUCAGUAGUGCUGAGUGAAGGUGUUCAGCAAGGCUCAGCACUCUUUAGCACAGGUACACAAAAGCUGAUGUUAGGGACAUGUGAUGUCGAGUGGAACUCCUAACUCUUAGGAGAAAGACCGGAGAGUUCUAGCCAUUAGGGAGAAAGCAAUGACCACUGCGAAGACAGCACGCUUUCCUAUUACUUAGGUUUUUUACUUCUCUCGGUAGUGCUGCUCUUUAGUUCUGUGUAUGAAUUUUGUACAUCUUGAGGCCGAAACCAUAGCAGGGUGAGCGGAAGAGUAGUGUAUUGAUCCCAAACAUGCAGCAGGAAGCAUCGAACCUUCUUUGCCUGUAGGCGAAAUGUUAUUGUGCCCUCUGUAAAGAUUAUCCUUGUAUUAUUCAAAUGCUGAUUUCUGUGCCCUCCCAUAUCUGGUUGCAAUCCUUACUCUUAGAAUUUCUUGUCUCAGUGUUGUGUAAACAUUGCUCCCCAGUUAUUCCAUGAAUGGUCAAUAAAGCUAGCUGAUCACCCCAUGGCUGAACAGGGAAGAAAAUAGGGCUGGGCUUCCUCCCAUCCAGGGAAGAGAGGAGAGAGGGAGGGAGGGAGAGAGAGAGAGAGGACGAGGAGGAGGUGGGGAUUUGCCACCAGGGGAGAGUCUGGAAGAUGCCAUGGAAAAACACCUGGAGCAAAGAAAGCCAUGAAAUGCUAUUAUUUCAGGGAUUUUUGGCUGGGAGGUAGCUAGCUUAGUGUAGAGGAUUAAAAUAAAGUAAUACUGCUUAGUUGUUGUGCCCUUAAAGCUUGAUACAUAAAUGUAUUAGUCCAGUCUCAAUUAUUUGGGAGCUAGCUGGGUGAAAGAAAACUGCAAAACGCUUAUUAAAACGCCAUUAACAUCGGCUCUCAGAGGGUGGAGGCAACCUUCAUGGUCUGACUGUGGAAAGAAAGAAUGACAGCCACCUUCAGAUUCAAAGCCUUUCUGGAGACCUGCAGCAGGCGGGUGCCAGCUUUAGCCACGGAAGGGGAGCCACCAAGAUUAGGACGCACGGCAAGGUUGGCUUUACUUUGGAAGUUGUCAAAGGGGAUGAAUGGUAAAAUAGUCUGGACAGAGGCUAAGUGUUCUAUAAAAUACUCUUAAUUUUAAGAGGAGCCGAAGCUAGAGUUAAAAUGGAAUUUUAUCUUUUUAAAGCUAUCAUAGGGGUGGAAAGAUGACUCAGACUAUUGGGAGUUUCUGUUCUUCCAGAGUACCCGGGUUUGGUUCCCAGCACCCUUGUUGGGUGACUAACAGCUACCUAUAAUUCCAGGGGAUCUGAUGCCCACUUCCGGCCUCCAUUCACAUCACACAUGCACACGCACAUGCACACACAAAAAGAGAGACUUUAAAAAUACAGUAAACCAUUUAUUAAGUGGUAAAAGUGAUCUCUAUCAGAAGUUGAGAAUGAGACAGAUCUGUUCAGAAGUCCUAGCCUGUGAGACACACCAUCUAACAAACAUAGAAAUGUAUUAAGAGUUACUUAGGGAUCAACAAACCACCGUGAUUCCCAAAUUUAUCCCCGCCACACACACAUGACACAUUAAUCCGUACAUGGUCAACUAUGGGGAUGAAUUCAUUAAAUUACCAAGGCUUCCAGGUUCUCAGUUAAGAUAGAAAAGACAGCGGUGCCCGUGCAGCAGCUUCUGUGAGACUCUCACCCAUGGUUGGAGUGCGGGUGACUUGGGUCUCCCACACCCUUUUCUGGAAAGUGAAGAAACAGCUGUGGAUCAUCGUGGAGCCUCUUGUGGAAACACGCUGGACCAAGAACCAACAUUUCCCUCUAGAGCACUGGAUGAAACAGACUGAAGUACCUCAGGCUUUGUGAUGUCCAGGUGAUGAGAGAGGCAGGCUUCCUUCCUUUUUUAGAGACUCCGAAUCUCAGUCUCAACUGGGGACUGCUCUGGACCUGCAGGAACAGGAUCUCACUGUGUAGUCCUGGCUGGCCGGGGACUUUCUAUAGAGAGCAGGCUGGCCUCAGACUCACAACGAUCUGCUUGCUUCUGCUUCUACAGUGCUCAGAUUAAAAGCAUUCUUCACC